UUUGUCCACGCCCGGGAAAGCGAAAUUCAUCCAAGCAAACUUUGCAGCUCAUUUUAAUCAGCCUCAAUGGGGUUAGGUUACGCUUUGGGCGUGCGGGUUUGGUGCAUGUGCGCGGGCGCGCGCCCACCUGCCGGCCUGAAGUCUUAUUUACUGUCAUAAAUAUUCAUUGUCAUAUUUGGCAUUUAGAUUGAUGCUAAUGUAAAAUGUUUGCAAACUAACCCCAAAGUCCCGGCGGGAGGGUGAGCCGUGCAGUGUACAAGCUACGUGCAGCUUCCACCGACAGUUCAAGCAGUUCAAGGAGCCCAAAGAGAGGGUGGGGAGGAGGAUGGAGAGUUCGUAAAUCCCAUUUCCGCUGCCAACUUGCCGUGCCACAGUGACGCGAGCCUUGUAAAAGGUGAGUAAGCGAAACAGACACCUGAGUGCAGUUCAUUCCGAUGCCAACCGGACAGUGCAGUGCCGGGGAUCCUCCUUAUCGCCGGCAGCAGCCCUUACCGAACCAAAGCCCAUCGCACAGUGAUCAGUCGGCGUGAAUAGUGGCGAUGAUACCGUACGUAUCGUCUUCUAAUUGUGUGACUAGCGGGCGUUCAUAAAUUAACAAACAACGAAAUCCGGAUGGCAGAAACCAGGGGCAGCACGGGGCUUAGCAGCUGACGAUUGCAUCGAAACCGGGCUGCAAUGCACAAGUAAUCCAUUCCGUGUACACACACACACACACACACUGCCGGUGCCACAGUGAACCGGCUGAAAGGCCGGUAUCAUGUAUCAUGUCGAGUGGGGCAUACGAGUGGGACCGUUGAAGCUGGGCCCCUUUCCUGGCGCUGGACAAGCGUUAGCUUUCAAUAUUUAAUUAACGGAGUUUCGUGUGGAUGAUCCGUACGCGUGUGUCAGUGUUUGUAUCGGAACGUUUGAUAUGAUGCAUAAGGGCCUUGCUUCGU